rnacentral:rRNA from 1 species
GGAGACAAUUAUAAGCUCCACAUAUAUAUUAUGUCGAAAAUAUAUUUUUCCUACGGUUGGCAUCCCGGCAAGUCCCUAUAUGGGGUUGGUCAUCGUACUACCAUGGAGACAAUAGCCCAUGGUGAGGGGUAUGUUCCUUCCAAUGAACUACCGAUUUGUCAGUUAGCUAAGCGGCAUCUAUAUGAGCCUAAUAUUAAUGAAGAGGUUAACCCAGUGAUCAGACAGCAGGUGCUCACACAUGCGGAUUUGACACACCAUCCUCGUGGUUGGAAUGUGGGGUCUACUCUUAGUGACUAUUCUUUUCAUCCACUAGCACCUUAUCCUAAACCUGAUCAUGAAGCCUACACCCUAGGGACCAGUAUUGUAGCAAAAGGUAUAGGUUGGGAUGGUCACACAGUCCAGUAUGUUCCGCAACCCAAAGGCUAUAUUGAGUGGGGCAUCUCUGUAUUGAAUAACCACUCAUUUUAUUUGAAAGGUGAAGCGGAGAACACCCAUUACAUAUAUGGGGCCAUUUAUUGCUCCCUCGGUGAAUAUGAAGUUUCAGAUUCGUUACUGAGGUCACUACUGGAAAGAUGGGAUCCAGAAACAAAUACUUCUCCUAUUUCAUCUGGUAAACGCACCGUGACUAUGCUUGACAUGCUUCUAAUGUUGGGUCUUCCUUCAGUUGGAGAUCCAUGCAAGGAAUAUGUUCCCUCUAUAGAUGACCUAGAACCUUCAAAGCUUAUGUUCCCAAAUUUCUUAUCUGGCCUUUUA